GACGAACGCUGGCGGCGUGCUUAACACAUGCAAGUCGAGCGGAGCGGCGAACGGGUGAGUAACGCGUGAGUAACUGCCCCCCUCUCUGGGGUAACAGUUGGAAACGGCUGCUAAUACCGGAUAGUGGGGGAUGACGCGAUUCCUAUUAGCUGGUUGGUGGGGUAGUGGCCUACCAAGGCGACGACGGGUAGCCGGCCUGAGAGGGCGACCGGCCACAUUGGGCUGGGAUACAGGCCAAAGUCCGACGGGAGGGAGCAGUGGGGGAUAUUGCACAAUGGGCGAAAGCAUGAUGCAGCGACGCCGCGUGGGGGCUGAAGGCUUUUGGGUUGUAAACCGCUCCUUGCAAGGCUCGGGUAGGUGGAGAAGAAGCGCCGGCUAACUACGUGCCAGCAGCCGCGGUAAUAC
rnacentral:rRNA from 1 species